UGAGGAAUAUUGGUCAAUGGGCGAGAGCCUGAACCAGCCAAGUAGCGUGCAGGAUGACAGCCCUAUGGGUUGUAAACUGCUUUUAUAAGGGAAUAAAGUGAGUCUCGUGAGACUUUUUGCAUGUACCUUAUGAAUAAGGACCGGCUAAUUCCGUGCCAGCAGCCGCGGUAAUACGGAAGGUCCGGGCGUUAUCCGGAUUUAUUGGGUUUAAAGGGAGCGUAGGCCGGAGAUUAAGCGUGUUGUGAAAUGUAGACGCUCAACGUCUGCACUGCAGCGCGAACUGGUUUCCUUGAGUACGCACAAAGUGGGCGGAAUUCGUGGUGUAGCGGUGAAAUGCUUAGAUAUCACGAAGAACUCCGAUUGCGAAGGCAGCUCACUGGAGCGCAACUGACGCUGAAGCUCGAAAGUGCGGGUAUCGAACAGGAUUAGAUACCCUGGUAGUCCGCACGGUAAACGAUGGAUGCCCGCUGUUGGCCUGAAUAGGUCAGCGGCCAAGCGAAAGCAUUAAGCAUCCCACCUGGGGAGUACGCCGGCAACGGUGAAACUCAAAGGAAUUGACGGGGGCCCGCACAAGCGGAGGAACAUGUGGUUUAAUUCGAUGAUACGCGAGGAACCUUACCCGGGCUUGAAUUGCAGAGGAAGGAUUUGGAGACAAUGACGCCCUUCGGGGCCUCUGUGAAGGUGCUGCAUGGUUGUCGUCAGCUCGUGCCGUGAGGUGUCGGCUUAAGUGCCAUAACGAGCGCAACCCCUCUCCUUAGUUGCCAUCAGGUCAUGCUGGGCACUCUGGGGACACUGCCACCGUAAGGUGUGAGGAAGGUGGGGAUGACGUCAAAUCAGCACGGCCCUUACGUCCGGGGCUACACACGUGUUACAAUGGCAGGUACAGAGAGACGGUCCCUUGCAAAAGGGAUCAAAUCCUCAAAGCCUGUCUCAGUUCGGACUGGGGUCUGCAACCCGACCCCACGAAGCUGGAUUCGCUAGUAAUCGCGCAUCAGCCAUGGCGCGGUGAAUACGUUCCC
rnacentral:rRNA from 1 species